UACGGAGGGUGCGAGCGUUGUCCGGAAUCAUUGGGCGUAAAGAGCGUGUAGGCGGCCAGAAAAGUCCGCUGUGAAAACUCGAGGCUCAACUUCGAGCUGUCGGUGGAAACUUUCUGGCUAGAGUCCGGAAGAGGAGAAUGGAAUUCCUGGUGUAGCGGUGAAAUGCGCAGAUAUCAGGAAGAACACCCGUGGCGAAGGCGGUUCUCUGGGACGGUAACUGACGCUGAGACGCGAAAGCGUGGGGAGCAAACAGG
rnacentral:rRNA from 1 species